AUGAAUUCCGCCUCCAGCCUCACCACGCUCCGGCUGCUUCACCUCAUUGCCUUCCAUUCCUUCUCUCUGCUUUUUCUCCACCAUCUUCUCUCUCCUUUGGGCCCUAUUCUUCCUCCAUUCCUUCUCUCUGCUUUCUUUCCACAUCUUCUCUCUCCUUUGGGCCCCUAUUCUUGGCAUAUUCACCAAAAUGCCUCUUUUCUUCCCCAAUUUAAAGCUUCCAUCCGGGCUGUAACCAAUCCUCGCUCGUCCGCCUCUUCUAUUGGCUGCUUUUCUAUCUUCCUCUCUUCUCUCCUUCCUCUCAUCCUGAUUUCCCUCUUCUAUUUUCUAUCUUCUUUAUUUUUGGCCUAUUUUCUUCCUUAUUUUUGCCUAUUUUCUUGCUUAUUUUUCCCCUAUUUUCUUCUUUCUUUUGCCUAUUUUCUUGCUUAUUUUUCCCCAUUUUCUUCUAUUUUUCCUAUUUUCUCUAUUCUUCUGUUUCUUCACUUUCUAUUCUUCUCUACUUCUCCUUUUCUCUUCUUUUUUUUCCUAUUUUUCCCCAAUUUUCUCUAUUUUUUCUGCUUCUCUUCCAUUUUUUCCCCCCCUCCCCCCAUUUUAAACACCUCCGUCCUUUUUCUGACGCCAUUUUCCAGCGUUUUCGCUGUUGUUUUUGCUCCUUUUAUUCCCAUAUUAUUCCCCCUCCCCCGUUUUUAUCCCCACUGCAUUUUGCCAACCCCCCCCCAACAACAAAAAAGGCCCCAAAUCUUUGGGAUGGGGGUUAAAAAUCCAACCCCUUUCCUUUUUAAACAAAGGAAAACACCCCAAAAUUGACCUUUUUUUUCCCCCACUCAUUUCACUCGGUGAGUUGGAAAACGCUGAAAACUCUUUAUUUUCCCCCAUUUAAUUCCCUCUUUUCCCAGCAGUUUCCCAUCCCCGUUCUUACCCCACCAUCCCAUCCGCCCCUUCUCACUCAAUUUGGCCCAAAAAGCACCAAAAUAUCCCUAUUUCAGCCCAUUCUGCAGCAGUGCUGAGUCACGCUGCAGCCACGCUCGGCCCUUUAAAUGGGAAACCGAACCCCAUUUUAAUGCAUUUUAGGGGCAUUUCCGCUCCAGGUAACAACACCCUAAGAUUAAAGACACCCCAAAAACACACCAGACCUCUCAUUAGUCCUCAAUUAACGUUAAUUAAUGCUCUGACGACACGGGCGGCACCGGGGACCUUUUCCAUAUCGGAUUUCAAGGCGUUUCCUGUAAAACCAGAGAGAAAAACGCUGUUGUUAAUCGGUUUCUAUUGUUCUGAUGGAGCAUUUUGUGAUUAAAAACCCCAUUUCUUCCCCAUUUUUAUUGGUCCUUCCAUCACCCCAAAGCCCCAGAGUGGGAUCAGCCCCAUGGGUGCAAUGUGAUUUGCACAUUCCUGCUCAUACACACCCUAAAAACCCCAAUUAAAAAGCAAAAAUAGCCUAUUAUCCCAUAUUUAACAUUACUAUUAAAGUCUCGUUGGGACAACUCAUGUUUUUUAGCACAAAAACAGCCCCAAAAAGACACGUUUUUACUUCAGAAAUGACCCCCUGGGAGUCACCUGAAGGGCCUUUUACACUCAGAAAGACUCUGAAGAAAAAAAACAUCGUAUUUUCAUACAAAAACAUCAUUUGUUUUACUAUUAAACGUCAUUUUUGCUUCACUGAACCAAAGGGCUGAGAAUUCCCUGAAAUUUGAGGAGUUUUUUGGCUCUUUUUUGGGGUUAUUUCGAUGGUUUUUGGGUCUUUGAUUCAUCACCCUCCCCCCCCCCCCCCCCCCCCCCCCCCCCCCCCCCCCCCUCCCCCUCCCCCUCC
ensembl:lncRNA